rnacentral:misc_RNA from 1 species
GAUGAAGAACGCAGCGAAAUGCGAUACGUAAUGUGAAUUGCAGAAUUCAGUGAAUCAUCGAAUCUUUGAACGCAUAUUGCGCUCUCUGGUAUUCCGGAGAGCAUGCUUGUUUGAGUAUCAGUAAACACCUCAACUCCCUUUUCUUUUUUGAAAUUGGAGCUGGACUUGAGUGAUCCCAACGCUUUCUUCCAAGAAAGUGGCGGGUUGCUUGAAAUGCAGGUGCAGCUGAACUUUUCUCUGAGCUAUAAGCAUAUCUAUUUAGUCUGCCUAAAAAACAGAUUAUUACCUUUGCUGCAGCUAACAUAAAGGAGACUAGUCCUUGUGCUGACUGAUGCAGGAUUCACAGAGACAGCUUCGGCUGACUUUGUAAACUCGAUCUCAAAUCAAGUAAGACUACCCGCUGAACUUAAGCAUAUCAAUAAGCGGAGGA